CAGCAAACUUUUAUUCUGUGUCUACUAAGGCAAGCUAGUCUGCCUGUCCCCGAGACAGCCUUGUCAAUACCAACUCCAGCCUCUCCCCUGUUACCCUGUGGCAGCAGUUGGAGGUGCAUCUUCUGCUACCACGUUUGGGAAACAACCAGCAGCAUUUUAAAGUAUGGAUCAGGAGCUUCAGGAAAUCAAAUCAGACAAUAAAUAGAAAUCAUAAGGUGAGCAGUGCUGCUGUGCCUCUCGCAACACAGGUGGGGUUGAUAAUUCGCCUUUGUUAAGACUGAAGCUUAAGGGGCAGCAGUGUGGCUGGGCUGAUUAUAAUGACUGGCACUGACACACUGCCUUUAUACUUUUUUAUGCUAUUAAAGAUAAAAUUAAAUAAAAACUUAAGCCAUUGAAAUCUUCUGCAGUUCCAAAGAGCCGAGUACUGCUGGACCAGAGUGCAGGAUCUCUCCUGCCCUACCUCCUGACUCCCUUCUCUCUCCUCAGCGGUGUCAGACCAGCACCGAGAUCAGGGGACCCAGGGUAAAGACAAACAGAGACCAAGCAGAGCUCCAGCCAGUUUCUUUUACUCGCUUUAUAAGUAACUAAUUAAAAUAAUAUUUCCAGGAUGCUUUUGUCCCUGAAAGGCUCGCCAAUUAGACCUCCAGUAAGAAAAAAAAAAAAAGAAAGAUCGACACACAGACAGCUGAGCGAUCCCCCAGGGAGGGUCAAAGGAGCACCCAGCAAAAGCUGCUUUGUGAAGAGAGAAAAUGUCACAGGCACUUGAGAAGCAAGUGGAAAUACUGGCAGAGAUGCUCAGCCCACAUAUUGCAACCACCACCAAAACCUUCAGCAAACGUCUUACAAGAGCUUUACUGACCACAGCGGUCAGAACAUGAACUUUGCAUGCCUGGAAAAAGCAGCUUGGUAACAGCAGGCUGCAGCACCAAGUGCUAGCUUACGCUAGGAGAGCGUUUUGAGGUUAUAUCUUACAGCAGUAAACUCCUGCCCACUAAGUAAACUGGACUGGCUGAAGCAGUUUUCACCAGCAAAGCUCCACCGAUGUCAUGCUUUCAGCUAAUAUAAAUGCCUUUAAAAAUAAAAUUUAAAAAAAAAAAUAAUAAAGGAAGUAAGCACAAGUAGUAAGCACCUAGCCACGGUCAUCGGAUUUUCCUUGCAGGGAAACGACCCCGCCUGUAGAGCAGCUUUGGAGCCCACAACAAAGGAGCAGGACGACAUUGUCGUGCAGCCGUCCCAGCCACCCGUGACCAAGGAGGAAAGCUGGACGUGGACAGAGAGACAGACACCCCCCCUCCAAAAGGGGAGCAAGUGAAGAACAAAGUACUCGAACCACAACAACGCAGCAGGACCGUGCUCAGUUGUUAAUGAAUGACUAAGCUGACCUUUGCCCAACACGGAGAAAGGGGAUGUCUUUCCCGAAGGAUCAACAGUGAUUUUUGUGUCAGGAACAAUAAAUAUCCCCCCAGGUACGGAAGGCAAUGCUUUUCUUUCCUGCUUGGCGUUAACACUGGCCACGACAGGACCUAAUCCAAGGCGUAGCUUGGAUUCAACACUU